AACUUGCCGCAAAGUUUUUCUGGAGAAGUCGGGGUUUUUUUGCCGAGCGCUUUUGCCGACUGCUAGAGCUUACCCUUACUUUCUUAACCUGGGGUUGUUUUACUUCCGGGCUUUUUGAACUCUACACUCUCCUACAUUCUAGGAGCUGGGUGGGAGUAGGAGACGGUGUGCCUCCGCGCUCCCCGCGGGGCAGCCGAACCCCGGAGGAAGGGGCGGAUCGGGCGCGGUGUUUGGGGCGAAGCUGGGCGCGCGGCGCUCGAAGCACUCACUCGGCGGGUUUCGUGGUUGGUGGAGACAGCAAGGGCGCCCCGCAGACCGCACCCCUCGAGCUAUAGGUUCGCAGGCCCGACUCGACGGCGUCCCUAUUGCUGGCCCAGCGUAUGGUCAUUGGGGGCCAUUUCUUGCAGAGAUGCCCUGCUCCCUGACGCGCUCGCUCUUCUCCAGAGUUGGCCAAAGGUGCUCUUCCCCGCAGACCCUAACCACACCCAGUGGCAGUUGGAUUUCUUUGUAACUGGCUUUCUCACAUAUAUCAUCUCUUCUUUUGAUCACUGUUCCUGAUUGUGACAUUGUGCAAGUGUUAAAUUGUGUGCCUUUUGUUCCUGAAGAAAGAGGUCCUGGGAUCUUUGAAAUGCUAAGAUUCUUGGAUACCACAGUAUCAUAAAAUUCCUCUAAAUGCAUUGGUGCUAGCAAUCCCCUACUCUGUCUGGCCUCUGGAUCUAGCUUGAAGUUCUGGAUUCAUUUCCUUCUUCCUUGUACCUCAGCCUGAGCCUUCUGU
rnacentral:lncRNA from 10 species